AUGAAGAAAUGCACGAGCCUGGAGGAGAGCCUGAGCAUGACGCAGUGGAGCAGAGCAUCGCCACCUGUCCUACGCGGAACCUCACCGUGGACGGGCGCUUCGGCGCGUGGUCUCCGUGGACACCCUGCUCGCACACGGAUGGCAGCGCCGUGGGCUCCUGCCUCUGCCGCACCCGCUCCUGUGACAGCCCGGCCCCCCAGUGUGGCGGCUGGCCGUGCGAGGGCCCCCGCGUGGAGAUCGCCAACUGUUCCAGGUGCGCCAGAGGUCCUGCAGCAACCCCACGCCCCGGCACGGGGGCCGGGUGUGUGUGGGACAGAACCGCGAGGAAAGGUAGGCACCCUCUCUGCUCCUGCAUCGCUAUCCUCAUGCUUACUGUCAUUCCAGCGUGGUCGGUCUCCCGGCGGUUUUCGUUUUGGAUCUUACUCAGCUUAUAGUGGCAUCCAGUUCUGUUGGGCUCAGUGGCCCUCCUCCUUGCCUGACAUCCUUUCAUUUUGACCAAAGCUUGAGGGUGACAGCAUCACGGGGGGCCAUAGAGGAGCCUGCAGAGUACACUCAGCGGGGCCGUUCCCUGGGGAUUGGAGACCCAGAAGCAGGGGCAGUGCUGGGCUGGGCUCCCUGGAGACUAGGCAGGCGGGUCUGCUAGGUAGUGCUUGUUCUUGUUAGAAUUCAACUAGGCUGGUCUCAAAUCUACAAUUGCAAAUAGGACCUGGGCUGAUCCUGGGUUCAGAUGGAUCAGAUGAGGUAAGUUUUCCAUCACUAAGCAACUGGCGUAUGAGUGAGAACAUAGUAUUUUUCUUAUAUUUAUGACUACUAAUGCCUACAUGCUUAUCUAUUAACAGCUACCCUCUGGGAAGCUGCAGGACAUCCCAGAGGGAGGGAUCCUUUUCUAUGUGUAUUUUAAGCCUUCAGCGUGUCAUGGGGGUAUGUUAUUUCAGUCUCACGUUUGACAGUUUGUUGCCUUUUAUAGACCCAGACAUUCGAUUUGGGCCUCAUAAAAUCUGCAGUUGUAAUACUUGACUCUUUCUUGCAUAUUUAAAGUACAUUCCUGUUUAUGGCUAUUGAGAGAAAGUCCAUUUAGGUGAAUUUCACAUCACUUUCAAGAUUCUUAUUCUCCAUACUCACAUACAUUUACCCUAUUGAUGCACAAGCAAAGUGGCUUUUAAUGCCUUUUAAAUAAAAUGUAACAAGGCUUGUAUCCA
rnacentral:lncRNA from 1 species